UUGCAUACACUGACCUUGCAGAUUCUUAACCUUUUCCAUGGCCUGUAUCCAAGGAAGGCUGAGACCUGACCGGCCGAUGGCAUGUUUCUUGUCCCUGAGUACCUGUGCUCUCUGGUACACAGGUACGUUGAUACGUGCAACGUGGGUUAGGCGUGUAGCGGCAUAUAAAAUCUUAGAUGGUUACAGCAACAUCUGCAGCACAUACAUAGCUUCAAGCACACAUACCAGGCGCGAAGCUUAAAGGCUAGCUUGGAUGAAUCACAGCUAUAGUGGGAGGCUGGGCACGAGCUGCAUUGCUGCUCUGAGGAUGAUGCAGCUGCAGCUACAGCAGGUUGCUCUUGUCUGCAUUAGCCCAACUCUGCAUGUGCUAGCUCCUCCUGCUUGGACGGAGUCUUAUCUGCAGCUGCCUCUGCUUGCUGCUGCUCAGAAGCACUGCCACCACUGCCACCACCGAUGCCACUAUGGCUGUCACUGCUAUUGCUGCUGUUGUCACGGGUGCUGCCGCUGCUGUGCCUGCUGCUGCUGCCACUGCUGCCAUGGCUGCAGCUGUGUCUGUGGCUGCGGCUGCGGCUGCGGCUGUGGCUGUGGCUGCGGCUGCGGCUGCGGCUGCGGCUGUGCCUGUGCCGGUGGCUGCGGCUGCGGCUGCGGCUGUGCCUGUGCUGGUGGCUGCGGCUGCGGCUGCGGCUGUGGCUGCGGCUGUGGCUGCGGCUGCGGCUGCGGCUGUGGCUGCGGCUGCCACUGCCGCUUCCGCUUCCGCUGCUGCUGCUGCUGCUGCUGCCGUUGCCGCUGCCGCUGCAGCUGCUACUCACCAGGCCACCAUCCAUCGUGGCGCCCAGCUCAGCUGCAGGUCCACCAUCCAAAGCCUGCUGCAUACGCAUCAGCAGGCAAAAUCAUGUCCAUGGCAUUGCUGUCAUUGAUAUGGGCUAAUGCAUGUCACAAACAUGACACUGUUGGUCAGUAAGAGUGUCAUAUAUGGUGAGCACAGGCAAAAGUUGCUACUAAGGGACAUGAGGUGCUACAUCAUAUACAUGGUCAGGUACUUUUUACAACCCUGCCUCUGGCAUAGUCCUUGCAUGCUUUUGUGGGGUAUUGGUCCUCUGGCAAUGCAAUGGCCACCCACAGGGCCAGCUUCCCGACAUGUAUACCGUGAAUGAAAAUGUUGACUUCCAUACCAUGAGUCUGCUGCACUGACAUUCUGUAGUAUCCUGGGUGUAUCAAGGGAUAAUUGUAAACACAUCCAUCACAUGUACUCCUGUAUGCCACUAUAGCCUACCAUGGUCCACACCUGCUUGUUCUCCCUGAUGUACUGCAGGUAUUCCACUGGGCCCAGGUAGUGACGCCCCAUCCUGCAGGCAGCAUCACAAAUCACGGGGAUCAAUGCUCACCAUGUAUGGACAAGGAAAACGAAGUAUGCUCAGGCACGACACAGUGACAGUGCAACAUCCCUUACACAAGGUAUGACAAUGAAUACACCUUACCCGCUUAUUUACGGCCGCGCUGGCAGCGAUUACGAA
rnacentral:lncRNA from 1 species